rfam:Schistosoma curassoni strain Dakar, Senegal genome assembly, scaffold: SCTD_scaffold0013859
ACACAGCUGACGAGUCCCAAAUAGGACGAAACGCACAUCUUGCAU